UGCAGUCGACGAUGAAGCCCAGCUUGCUGGGUGGAUUAGUGGCGAACGGGUGAGUAACACGUGAGCAACCUGCCCCUGACUCUGGGAUAAGCGCUGGAAACGGCGUCUAAUACUGGAUACGAACAAGAAUCGCAUGGUUACUUGUUGGAAAGAUUUUUCGGUUGGGGAUGGGCUCGCGGCCUAUCAGCUUGUUGGUGAGGUAAUGGCUCACCAAGGCGUCGACGGGUAGCCGGCCUGAGAGGGUGACCGGCCACACUGGGACUGAGACACGGCCCAGACUCCUACGGGAGGCAGCAGUGGGGAAUAUUGCACAAUGGGCGCAAGCCUGAUGCAGCAACGCCGCGUGAGGGAUGACGGCCUUCGGGUUGUAAACCUCUUUUAGCAGGGAAGAAGCGAGAGUGACGGUACCUGCAGAAAAAGCACCGGCUAACUACGUGCCAGCAGCCGCGGUAAUACGUAGGGUGCAAGCGUUAUCCGGAAUUAUUGGGCGUAAAGAGCUCGUAGGCGGUUUGUCGCGUCUGCUGUGAAAUCUGGGGGCUCAACCCCCAGCCUGCAGUGGGUACGGGCAGACUAGAGUGCGGUAGGGGAGAUUGGAAUUCCUGGUGUAGCGGUGGAAUGCGCAGAUAUCAGGAGGAACACCGAUGGCGAAGGCAGAUCUCUGGGCCGUAACUGACGCUGAGGAGCGAAAGGGUGGGGAGCAAACAGGCUUAGAUACCCUGGUAGUCCACCCCGUAAACGUUGGGAACUAGUUGUGGGGUCCAUUCCACGGAUUCCGUGACGCAGCUAACGCAUUAAGUUCCCCGCCUGGGGAGUACGGCCGCAAGGCUAAAACUCAAAGGAAUUGACGGGGACCCGCACAAGCGGCGGAGCAUGCGGAUUAAUUCGAUGCAACGCGAAGAACCUUACCAAGGCUUGACAUAUACGAGAACGGGCCAGAAAUGGUCAACUCUUUGGACACUCGUAAACAGGUGGUGCAUGGUUGUCGUCAGCUCGUGUCGUGAGAUGUUGGGUUAAGUCCCGCAACGAGCGCAACCCUCGUUCUAUGUUGCCAGCACGUAAUGGUGGGAACUCAUGGGAUACUGCCGGGGUCAACUCGGAGGAAGGUGGGGAUGACGUCAAAUCAUCAUGCCCCUUAUGUCUUGGGCUUCACGCAUGCUACAAUGGCCGGUACAAUGGGCUGCAAUACCGUGAGGUGGAGCGAAUCCCAAAAAGCCGGUCCCAGUUCGGAUUGAGGUCUGCAACUCGACCUCAUGAAGUCGGAGUCGCUAGUAAUCGCAGAUCAGCAACGCUGCGGUGAAUACGUUCCCGGGUCUUGUACACACCGCCCGUCAAGUCAUGAAAGUCGGUAACACCUGAAGCCGGUGGCCUAACCCCUCGGGGAGGGAGC
rnacentral:rRNA from 1 species